rnacentral:tRNA from 1 species
UAUUUAAAUAGUUUAAAUAAAAUAUUAGUUUGUGGAACUGAAGUUAUGACUAUUUCAUUUUAGAUA